GGACUGCAAUUGCAAGAAAAAAUUGAACCCCUGCAAAAUUCCUCUGACGUGCAGCAAUUUCAAAAUACUUCUUUUGCUAAAAGUCCCUGCAUUCAUAUUGAUGACAUUAUACCUAUUGCCUCCACUCCUAAGGUGAGCUUGCAAUCCGAUGAGCUUGAUCUGCCCCAAGUAAAGGUGAGAGUGCAAACAAAUGAAACUACCUCUGCCUCACCAGAUGCAAAUACUGCUGGUCAUGUUGUCCGAACACCAUUAUCUCUCAACACACUUGGAGAUGUUAAUCAGGGUGACAUAAGCAGAGGUCUUAUUGAUACAACAGCACCUUUUGAAUCUGUUAAAGAAGCUGU
rnacentral:misc_RNA from 1 species